rnacentral:rRNA from 1 species
GACAGAGGGGGCAAGCGUUGCUCGGAAUCACUGGGCGUAAAGGGCGCGUAGGCGGGAUGGCAAGUCGGUCGUGAAAUCUCUCGGCUCAACCGAGAAACGUCGGCCGAUACUGCCGUUCUUGAGGGAUGCAGAGGAGACUGGAAUUCCCGGUGUAGCGGUGAAAUGUGUAGAGAUCGGGAGGAACACCGGUGGCGAAGGCGGGUCUCUGGGCAUUUCCUGACACUGAGGCACGAAGGCCAGGGGAGCAAACGGG